CCCUGAAUGUACAGCACCUUGUGAAUUUAUUUCUGUCAAAGGUGCUAUAUAAAUAAAACUUUACUUACUUACUUACUCCUCACACUUCACACAAUGAAGAUGGUGAGCUACACUGUAGCCACAGCUGCCCUGGGGCACACUGACACAGAUUUGAAUCAUCCUCUCAGAGUGGGCUGAUCAKUUUCAGGAUGAAUUCCUUCAGACUUCGUUUCACAAGAUGUCAAAAGAAGAGGAGUCUGAUGCUUGUUUCCAUGGCAACAAGAAGCAGGUCCUUGAUGACAUCACAGAUUCCUCCUCAUCCUCCUCCGCCUGGAUCAAGACAUCCUCUCUCUCCACAGGAGCAGCUCAKGCUGUGGACAGUCUGGGAGCAAACAGCUCCAGUAUGGACCAGUAAGAUCUGCAGGAUGAGGAGCUCACACACUGAAUCAUCUGCCAACAUUUCCCACAAUGCAACGCUCUGCCCUCAGGCUGCCCACCAGUGGAAACAAUAAACAGGAGGAAGUGGAUGAUCUGAGCAUGAAGCAGCUCUGCUGCCCUCCUGAGGAGAAGGAUCAGAACUGUCCUCAUGUCCAUCAGCUGCUACAAAAUAAAAGACUUUCACAAUCACUUUAUAUCGUUUCCCUGCAAACUUGAUGACUUUUUCACCUGUUUUUCUGUUUUCUUCACCUGAUUCCAGAUGUUCUUAAUCCUCCACACCAGGGCUAUUCAACUGGCGGCCCGUGGGCCACAUUCGGCCCGCGAGUGACCAACAUUCGGCCCACCAAUUGGU